rnacentral:rRNA from 1 species
CGGUAAUUCCAGCUCCAAUAGCGUAUACUAAAGUUGUUGCAGUUAAAAAGCUCGUAGUUGGAUUUCUGCGGGGACGGAGCGGCCGGACGCAACUUGCGUCUCGAGCUAGCGCUUUCCCCGCAUCCUGCCGCGAACCGUGCUACCAUUAGCUUGGUGGCGCUGGGGAUCGGCUCGAUUACUUUGAGAAAAAUAGAGUGUUCAAAGCAGGCCACACGCCUUGAAUAAGUUAGCAUGGAAUAAUGACUAAGGACUUUGGUUCUUUUCGUUGGUGUCCGGGACUGAAGUAAUGAUUGAUAGGGACAGUUGGGGCGGUCUGUAUUCCAAAGCGAGAGGUGAAAUUCUUAGACCUUCGGAAGACAAACAGCUGCGAAAGCGUUCCGCAAGGAUGUUCCCUUUGAUCAAGAACGAAAGUUGGGGGAUCGAAGACGAUCAGAUACCGUCGUAGUCUCAACUAUAAACUAUACCAGCUAGGGAUCGGCCAACGUUUAAUUAUUCGACUUGGUCGGCACCUUAUGAGAAAUCAAAGCAUCUGGGUUCCGGGGGGAGUAUGGUCGCAAGGCUGAAACUUAAAGGAAUUGACGGAAGGGCACCACCAGGCGUGGAGCCUGUGGCUUAAUUUGACUCAACACGGGAAAACUUACCAGGUCCAGACAUAGGAAGGAUUGACAGAUUGAUAGCUCUUUCUUGAUUCUGUGGGUGGUGGUGCAUGGCCGUUUUUAGUCGGUGAAGUGAUUUGUCUGCUUAAUUGCGUUAACGGACGAGACCCCAGCCUGCUAAAUAGCGCGGCCGAGCUUUGCUCGGUGCGAGCUUCUUAGAGGGACCAUGAUGCGCGAUAGCACAAGGAAGUUUGGGGCAACAACAGGUCUGUGAUGCCCUUAGAUGUUCUGGGCCGCACACGGGCUACACUGGCGCCUGCAACGAGCAUAUCAGCUGGCCCGAGAGGGUCUUGGCUAAUCUUUGGAACCGGCGCCGUGCUUGGGAUUGACCAUUGCAAUUGUUGGUCAUGCAACGAGGAAUGCCUUGUAAACGCGAGUCAUCAGCUCGCAUUGAAUACGUCCCUGCCCUUUGUACACACCGCCCGUCGCUCCUACCGAUGAAUGUUCCGAUGAAAUUUUCGGAGAGCGCCGGAGAACGGGGCUCUGCCCUGCAGAACUGGAGGCUCAAAGUCACUUAAAUCUGAACAUUUCGAGGAAGGAGAAGUCGUAACAAGGUAGCCG